rnacentral:rRNA from 1 species
GACGAACGCUAGCGGCGUGCCUAAGCUAUGCAAGUCGAGCGGGGUUUCAGAGUCGAGUUUCCUUCGGGAGACAAAGCACUGAAACCUAGCGGCAAACGGGUGAGUAACACGUGAGUAACCUACCCCGUUGUCCGGGAUAACAGGCCGAAAGGCCUGCUAAUACCGGAUACGAAGCUCCUUCGCAUGUAGGAGCUUGGAAAGGGGCAACCCACAACGGGAGGGGCUCGCGUCCUAUCAGCUAGUUGGUGAGGUAACGGCCCACCAAGGCUGCGACGGGUAGCCGACCUGAGAGGGUGACCGGCCACACUGGGACUGAGACACGGCCCAGACUCCUACGGGAGGCAGCAAGCGGGAAUCUUGCACAAUGGGCGCAAGCCUGAUGCAGCGACGCCGCGUGAGGGAUGAAGGCCUUCGGGUCGUAAACCUCUGUUGAUGGGGACGAAGAUCUGACGGUACCCAU